GAUGAACGCUGGCGGCGUGCCUAAUACAUGCAAGUCGAGCGAACAGACGAGGCGCUUGCUCCUUUGACGUUAGCGGCAGACGGGUGAGUAACACGUAGAAAACCUACCUGUCUGACUGGUAUAACUUCGGGACACCGGCGCUAAUCCCGGAUAAUAUUUCGCACCGCAGGGUUCGAUAGUGAAAGAUGGCUUUGCUGUCACUUAUAGAUGGACCUGCGCCGUAUUAGCUAGUUGGUAAGGUAACGGCUUACCACGGCAACGAUACGUAGCCGAACGGAGAGGGUGAUCGGCCGCACGGGAACGGGGACACGGACCAGACGCCUACGAGAGGCAGCAGUAGGGAAUCUGCCGCAAUAGGCGAAAGCCUGACGGAGCAACGGCGCGUGAGUGAUGAAGGUGUUCGGAUCGUGAAACUCUGUUAUUAGGGAAGAACAAACGUGUCAGUAACUGUGCGCGGCUUGACGGUACCGAAUCAGAAAGCAACGGCUAACUACGUG
rnacentral:rRNA from 1 species